UCCUGGAGCCUGGAGGGAAGACCUGCUACCGACUCCUUCUGCAGACGCUUCCUGGCUACAGUCUGUCGCUGGAUCUGCAGGACUUCAGCAAAGUUAACAGGAAACAUAACACAGGACUCCAGAUUUAGGGAGAGAAUGCAAAAAACUACUAUCAUACUCCAUCCAGUAAGGACAAGUGUCCCUGCGUCACCAAAGCAAUGAGAAUUUGCACAAAGAAAACACAGUUCUCCAAUUGUGACAAAUACGAGACCGUGAGCCAUGAGUUACGACAACAAGCAACUGUUUAAAUGCCAUGGGCAAAUUUUUUUUAUCAUCUUGAAAACAUCACUGAUGUUCUAGGAAGAAAUUCUUGAAGACGACUCCCUGACCUGAAGGGAUGGAUGGAGGAGGAAAGAAAAGAAGACAAGCAUUUUUGGCCCACAAAAAAUGAAAGGUAACCAGAUGGUGGCUAGUUUUCAUUGCACCACUCUGCCCGCCCCAAUUUCACAUGCCCCUCCCAACUCAACUCAUCAGAAAUCGACUGAAGGAGACGGCUUUGCAAAUUUAUUGGAAGCCAAAGAAAUCGCUCCAGAAACAGUCUCCCAAACCCAGCGAGAACACUGUAAACUGACCAGUGCCAGGAUCUGAAUACUAAAACACACAGAUUCAAACUCCGACACCCUCCCUGGUGGGUGUACUUACCGUGCAGGUGUUGCCGUGAAAUUUGUCAGCAUCCAACAUAUAAAAAUGAAUGGGACACCAGUUUUCAACAUCACAGUCCCUCUGAAACAACUGGUAGUCAAUUAGCGUUUGUCGGCAGCAAAAGUCGAUUUUCUCCCCUGCACGUGGAGAUCAACACACAGAAGAGACUGAUGAUCCCCGCUGCGAGUGUAGCUAAGUGUGUCUAAGCAAACUGGCUCCAUCAGCCUCCUGAUGAGCAGGGGAGUGUGUGAGCCGCGGGGAUCUGCAGACUAAUGGCCGGGCAAGGAGGGCGCUUCCUUACUUUGGGGAGAAAAACGCGGAAGCAGCACUCGCUGUAAAUAAAUUCUAAUUAAAAUUUCAGGUGCAGUUACUGCAGCGUAACCCACGGCAAUAGAUGAGGCUCCCUCCGCGCUGUCCAGUCAUGUGAACCAGGCUCAUUAUUGUACCUGUGUGUUUGGUUUAGCAAGUGAAUCAUGUCUGUUUUCUGGAAAUUACAUGAGGGUGGAAAACCUUCCAAACAUGUUCAUUUAUUUGCUGUGGAAUUUGUUUAAUCCUCUUAAGAACAUUUACAAUGACAAUCUUCUUAAAUAAGCAUCUUUGCCCGAGAGACAUUUCCAGGCACAUGCGCCGAAACCUAGGAUAACCCAGAAGCAAAAUCAAAUCCGUUUCAGCUGCACAGCACCACAGAAUGCGUCCAGUUUGCGAGUCAAGGAUUUUUUUCUCCACACCGUUUUACUCUUCUGCCCAAAUUAAUCAGCCUCUGCUUCUCUUGUAUAGUGAGUAUCGUAUGACUCAUCUUCUCUGCCUGUAAAAUGGAAAUGGGAGAUAAUUCUACCCAAUAAAAUGUCAUAGAACUAACCACCAAAAUUAUAUAUAUUAAAAAAAAAAGCCAGGGCUUU